AUUAUUUUUUUAAUAUUUAAGGUUGUCCACGAGCAAAGCGGAAAAGUCGAAUACGAGCGCGAAAGGCUGCUGGGAAUCGCUAACAAAUUAAUGAAUUUUCAAAGCGAUUCCCAGCAGCCUUUCGCGCCCGUAUUCGACUUUUCCGCUUUGCUCGUGGACAACCUUAA
rnacentral:miRNA from 1 species